CCUACGGGUGGCUGCAGUGAGGAAUAUUGGUCAAUGGACGAAAGUCUGAACCAGCCAUGCCGCGUGGAGGAUGAAGGCCCUCUGGGUUGUAAACUUCUUUUAUCAGGGAAGAAAAGUACUAUUUCUAUGGUAUCCGACGGUACCUGAUGAAUAAGCACCGGCUAACUCCGUGCCAGCAGCCGCGGUAAUACGGAGGGUGCAAGCGUUAUCCGGAUUUACUGGGUUUAAAGGGUGUGUAGGCGGACUUUUAAGUCAGAGGUGAAAUCCCAAGGCUC
rnacentral:rRNA from 1 species